rnacentral:lncRNA from 1 species
GAAUUCAUUAAGGAAUCUGCAUGCUCAAAAUUAAGAAAAUAAAAUGGAGACCAGGAAAGAAAUGAACUUCUCAAGAGUCCUCACAAAGCAGAAAAAUAUGUACACGCAGUUCGUUCCAUUUCACCUCCCAAACCCCCAACUGGAGAGAAUCACAAGUGUUGCCUACGACGCGCAGGGAGAGCCGGUGGACACGGUACAGCAGAGCGCUGAAGCUCAGGGGAGGACGGACGGUGACCUAAGAAUUCUGGAUGCUCUUGCAGGACGUGUGGUGAUGCAUGCUUUUGGAAAUAAAGCCAAGAGAACGUGUCUGCUGUGAAUAUGAUAUAUAGAAUCCACUUAAAAGCACACAGUGAGGCAGCUGAAACAGACUCUGGGCUUACAUUUCCGCUGAUGAAAGCCAAGGUUUUAUCCAUCCUGUCCAGGUGCCAGCUCAGAACUUCCCUCCGGUCUUUUGGUGUCGACUCAUGAUACUUCAUUCAUCUCUUCAAAUCUAGACUUCAGGGUGUUCAUUCAAGCGUAUCACAUUUAACCAUGUUAGUUUGUACUGCUGCGUUAUUUGAGAUGUUUUUGAUUCCAGACUCUGCCAACUAACCUCUGAGCUAUUGUUCCCAACCAGCUCUCUGAAAAUGUGAUGAGCCUUUUUGCUUCUGUCUUCUUCCAGACUGUCCUAAUCUUCUUAGGACUAUUCUUCUGUUUUAAACACAUGAAUUUGGCAGACAAUUACUUAUCUUACAUUUCUUUCUGUUUUUAUGCUAAUAGACCUCCUUGUGGGCCUACUGGUUUUGGCCCUGUUUUCAACUAUUCCCUUGUCGACGAAAAUAAUCCAUAACCAAUCUGUAAAUGAAAAUUUGGGUGAGUUUAUUCUGAGCUGAAAUCCGAGGACCAUGGCCUGGGGCCUUUCUUCCCAAAGGAAGAAAGGGCACUGAAGAAGUGGGGUGCACAGAGUGGUUAUAUACCCCCAAACAGGGUGUUUCACAUAUGAUUGAAAUGUGCCUCCCACAAUAGUCACAAGAUUGCCCUGUCGGCACAGCGUUUGAUAGACACAGCAGGUAGUGGGUCUGCUAUCUCAGAGGGUGUAGCAGGAGGCAAGACUAUUGUCUCGAGCUGGGCGGUCACAGGUGAGCGCAGCAAUCAGUUUCUAGCCCAAGGAAAGAUGCUUAAUCCUUAAGGAGAUGCCAACAUUGGGAGGGGCAAGGAAGUUGCACCUUUAUCUCAAGGGCCUUUGUUCUUGCCAUAGGGAAUCUCUAAAGCAGAUAUACAAUGCAUGCUCAGCAGCCACGGUCAGGCCCUUUUGGAAAGACAAGGUCAGGCCGAAUUAGGUUUAUACCAAAUGGCUUCCUCAUAUUCUCCAAUAUAUCCUAUUGCUUGCCAUUUUUAUUUGUCACCCUUCUCCUAAACUUUCUUUUCUAGAAGUUUCUUCCUUUCUAUCCAUGUGAUCAUAACGUUACCACCGAAGGGGAGUCAUCUGCUUGCAGCAAGACAUGCCAAUAAGGCAAGGUGGUAGGAGAGAAAGGACUUUAUUAUAGCUUGCUAGCAAGAGGGAACAUGGCUGACAUGUCUGAAAGAACCAUCUCACAGAACAAAGACAACAGAGAAUGAAGCAAUGCCUAUACCCUGAUCUUUCCAUUGUCAUUGAUGAUGGCUAUCAGCAUGGGCUCUCUGCCCAGGGGUCAUCACAUUCCUAAGGAACUCAAAAGAGCAAAGGAUUAUUUACCUUAAUUGAAGAGAUAAGAGCCAAAGAAAGAAAAAUCUCUGCAGCUGAAAUCAAUUUAUUUGGUCUCCAUGAUAUUUUAGAGGAUUGAAAAGAAACUAUUUUCGGUUUCGACCAAACUGAACUUCCAGAAGCUUCUGACAAACCUUGUUCUUUUAAGCCCCUGUGCUGCUGUGUAUGCUACUUUGACUGGAAGAUGCUCAGUCAUCAUGUUGUGCUGGCUGGGUCCUCCUGAAGGCAGAUCGUAGGAUGCAGCUGAGAAGAGGAAGGAAGGACGACUGGGUGUAGCACAACCAUGAGGAAGUCUUGGUCAGCCCAAAGAGGAGCUCUGACACAAAGACUCCCUCAUGUGGAGCGUCCCAUUGGGCAGACGUGGUCAGGUCCUGGUAUCUCCACCAGGCUCUGGUAUCAGCUGGGGCUGUGACUACCCAGGAAAUCAUAAACUCGGCACAAAUGGUGUUGUGGGUCCUGACAGCAACUGUUGGCUGGCUCUCUCUUGAAAAGCAAACAAAGAGCACACUCCAUGACUGCUACAACUCUCCAUCGGAGACAAAUGCUUUGUUGGGAUGUGACAGGGAAUAAAUCAGUCAGCCCAUAAAUUGAGAACUCCAAAAAAUCCUUCAAAGUCAGCUUGAACUAUUGAGUCUUGGUCCUUGACCUUUCUGGAAGAAUAGCUCCUUAAACAUUUUGAUACUAAAG